UACAGAGGGGGCAAGCGUUGUCCGGAAUCAUUGGGCGUAAAGGGCGCGUAGGCGGCGACCCAAGUCAGAUGUGAAAGUCCUGGGCUUAACCUGGGGACUGCAUUUGAUACUGGGUUGCUUGAGUUCGGGAGAGGAUAGCGGAAUUCCCAGUGUAGAGGUGAAAUUCGUAGAUAUUGGGAAGAACACCGGUGGCGAAGGCGGCUAUCUGGACCGACAUUGACGCUGAGGCGCGAAAGCGUGGGGAGCAAACAGG
rnacentral:rRNA from 1 species